rnacentral:rRNA from 1 species
AACAAACGCUGGCGGCGUGCCUAAUACAUGCAAGUCGAACGGGGAAAGCUUUCGGGUGAGUACUAGUGGCGCACGGGUGAGUAACGCGUGGAUAAUCUGCCUUAGAGUGGGGGAUAACUAGUCGAAAGAUUAGCUAAUACCGCAUAAGACCACAAGAACUGCGGUUCAAGGGGUCAAAGGUUUUUCGCUCUAAGAUGAGUCCGCGUAAGAUUAGCUAGUUGGUAGGGUAACGGCCUACCAAGGCGACGAUCUUUAACUGGUCUGAGAGGAUGAUCAGUCACACUGGAACUGAGACACGGUCCAGACUCCCACGGGAGGCAGCAGUAGGGAAUAUUGCACAAUGGAGGAAACUCUGAUGCAGCGACGCCGCGUGGGUGAUGAAGGCCUUCGGGUCGUAAAGCUCUGUCGCAGGGGAAUAACACAAUGAAUGUACCCUGUAAGAAAGGAUCGGCUAACUUUGUGCCAGCAGCCGCCGUAAUAC